rfam:Hordeum vulgare subsp. vulgare, WGS project CAJW01000000 data, contig: morex_contig_60158
UAAAUACUCCCUCCGUCCCAAAAUUCUUAUCUAAAAUUUGUCCAGAAAUUGAUGUAUCUAAAUACUAAAACGUGACUACAUACAUUCAUAUCUAGAUAAAUCUAAGACAAGAAUUAUGGAACGGAGGGAGUACAAA